GGACUAUUGUUUUGGAAACAACUGAUUUUGAAAGUCAAUAACAAAGGUUCAACUCCUUUAUAGUCCU
rnacentral:tRNA from 1 species